CCACCCUCAGGCCCCGCCUGGUGUUGGGGACCUGCCGCGCGCAGCCCCCGAAAGACAGCGGCGGUUCCGUCACGGCCCCGAACGUAGUAGCACACGUCGUUCCGGGCGCCUGGCGGGCCCUGCCGUAAGCCACAUCACAGAAGAG
rnacentral:misc_RNA from 1 species